GAGGGGAGGUAUGGGUGGUCCCACAGUGGACCCAGUUCUCAACCACGGCUGAUAAGUGCAUGGACAAAAGGAGGAUCCUAGGAUCAAACCCAGUGUGUCUUUUGUCCUGUCUUUCUCCCCUCACUCCCAAACUGUCAUGGCAGAUUGCCGCCCCUCCCUGAGUCUGGUUCUUCCGGAUGUUUCUCCUGUUAAACGCGAGUUUUUCUUUCCCACUUUUACUCAUAUGGGGUUG